rnacentral:rRNA from 1 species
AGUGAACGCUGGCGGUAGGCCUAACACAUGCAAGUCGAACGGCAGCACAGUAAGAGCUUGCUCUUACGGGUGGCGAGUGGCGGACGGGUGAGGAAUACAUCGGAAUCUACUUUUUCGUGGGGGAUAACGUAGGGAAACUUACGCUAAUACCGCAUACGACCUACGGGUGAAAGCAGGGGAUCUUCGGACCUUGCGCGAUUGAAUGAGCCGAUGUCGGAUUAGCUAGUUGGCGGGGUAAAGGCCCACCAAGGCGACGAUCCGUAGCUGGUCUGAGAGGAUGAUCAGCCACGCUGGAACUGAGACACGGUCCAGACUCCUACGGGAGGCAGCAGUGGGGAAUAGUGGACAAUGGGCGCAAGCCUGAUCCAGCCAUACCGCGUGUGUGAAGAAGGCCUUCGGGUUGUAAAGCCCUUUUGUUGGGAAAGAAAAGCAGCAGGUUAAUACCCCGCUGUUCUGACGGUACCCAAAGAAUAAGCACCGGCUAACUUCGUG